rnacentral:rRNA from 1 species
AAGGGGGGACGGAGAAGGCUAUGUUGGCCGGGCGACGGUUGUCCCGGUUUAAGCGUGUAGGCUGGUUUUCCAGGCAAAUCCGGAAAAUCAAGGCUGAGGCGUGAUGACGAGGCACUACGGUGCUGAAGCAACAAAUGCCCUGCUUCCAGGAAAAGCCUCUAAGCAUCAGGUAACAUCAAAUCGUACCCCAAACCGACACAGGUGGUCAGGUAGAGAAUACCAAGGCGCUUGAGAGAACUCGGGUGAAGGAACUAGGCAAAAUGGUGCCGUAACUUCGGGAGAAGGCACGCUGAUAUGUAGGUGAAGCGACUUGCUCGUGGAGCUGAAAUCAGUCGAAGAUACCAGCUGGCUGCAACUGUUUAUUAAAAACACAGCACUGUGCAAACACGAAAGUGGACGUAUACGGUGUGACGCCUGCCCGGUGCCGGAAGGUUAAUUGAUGGGGUCAGCGCAAGCGAAGCUCUUGAUCGAAGCCCCGGUAAACGGCGGCCGUAACAAUAACGGUCCUAAGGUAGCGAAAUUCCUUGUCGGGUAAGUUCCGACCUGCACGAAUGGCGUAAUGAUGGCCAGGCUGUCUCCACCCGAGACUCAGUGAAAUUGAACUCGCUGUGAAGAUGCAGUGUACCCGCGGCAAGACGGAAAGACCCCGUGAACCUUUACUAUAGCUUGACACUGAACAUUGAGCCUUGAUGUGUAGGAUAGGUGGGAGGCUUUGAAGUGUGGACGCCAGUCUGCAUGGAGCCGACCUUGAAAUACCACCCUUUAAUGUUUGAUGUUCUAACGUGGACCCGUGAUCCGGGUUGCGGACAGUGUCUGGUGGGUAGUUUGACUGGGGCGGUCUCCUCCUAAAGAGUAACGGAGGAGCACGAAGGUUGGCUAAUCCUGGUCGGACAUCAGGAGGUUAGUGCAAUGGCAUAAGCCAGCUUGACUGCGAGCGUGACGGCGCGAGCAGGUGCGAAAGCAGGUCAUAGUGAUCCGGUGGUUCUGAAUGGAAGGGCCAUCGCUCAACGGAUAAAAGGUACUCCGGGGAUAACAGGCUGAUACCGCCCAAGAGUUCAUAUCGACGGCGGUGUUUGGCACCUCGAUGUCGGCUCAUCACAUCCUGGAGCUGAAGUGGGUCCCAAGGGUAUGGCUGUUCGCCAUUUAAGGUGGUACGCGAGCUGGGUUUAGAACGUCGUGAGACAGUUCGGUCCCUAUCUGCCGUGGGCGCUGGAGAACUGAGGGGGGCUGCUCCUAGUACGAGAGGACCGGAGUGGACGCAUCACUGGUGUUCGGGUUGUCAUGCCAAUGGCACUGCCCGGUAGCUAAAUGCGGAAGAGAUAAGUGCUGAAAGCAUCUAAGCACGAAACUUGCCCCGAGAUGAGUUCUCCCUGACUCCUUGAGAGUCCUGAAGGAAUGUUGAAGACGACGACGUUGAUAGGCCGGGUGUGUAAGCGCAGCGAUGCGUUGAGCUAACCGGUACUAAUGAACCGUGAGGCUUAACC